UUGUUUGGACGGUUGGAUUGAUUUUAGCGGCUGGGUUUGUUACAUUGAUUGUGAAGACUGUUCCUAGGCGUCAUAAAUAUCCACCUCCUCCUGAUAAUUACACUAUUGCUCUUGGGAAAGCUCUCAGGUUCUUUAAUGCACAAAAAUGUAAUUUGGAACAUGAAAGGAGUUUCUAUAGCAGUGACUGAAGAACCCAAGUUUGUUAGUUUAUUGACUUGUAGUGACUAAUGCUAACAUAUAUUUAAAAGGGGCUUUACAGCCAGGCCCAUGAUCAUUAAAAUGGGCUCUUUACAUUAUGGAUCUAAAUUUUGCAAACAUGGGAAUGGGAUAUUAUUA
rnacentral:lncRNA from 1 species